rnacentral:rRNA from 1 species
AUUAAACGCUGGCAGCAGGCCUAACACAUGCAAGUCGAGCGGGGUUUUCGGACCUAGCGGCGGACGGGUGAGUAAUGCGUAGGAAGCUACCCGAUAGAGGGGGAUACCAGUUGGAAACGACUGUUAAUACCGCAUAAUGUCUACGGACCAAAGUGUGGGACCUUCGGGCCACAUGCUAUCGGAUGCGCCUACGUGGGAUUAGCUAGUUGGUGGGGUAAUGGCUCACCAAGGCGACGAUCCCUAGCUGGUUUGAGAGGAUGAUAAGCCACACUGGAACGGAGACACGGUCCAGACUCCUACGGGAGGCAGCAGUGGGGAAUAUUGGACAAUGGGCGCAAGCCUGAUCCAGCCAUGCCGCGUGUGUGAAGAAGGCCUUCGGGUUGUAAAGCACUUUCAGUAGGGAGGAAGCGUUGUGUGUUAAUAGUACACAGCGUUGACGUUACCUACAGAAGAAGCACCGGCUAACUCUGUGCCAGCCGCCGCGGUAAAAC